rnacentral:rRNA from 1 species
UAGGGAAUCUUCCGCAAUGGACGAAAGUCUGACGGAGCAACGCCGCGUGAGCGAAGAAGGUCUUCGGAUCGUAAAGCUCUGUUGUUAGGGAAGAACAAGUAUCGUUCGAAUAGGGCGGUACCUUGACGGUACCUAACCAGAAAGCCACGGCUAACUACGUGCCAGCAGCCGCGGUAAUACGUAGGUGGCAAGCGUUAUCCGGAAUUAUUGGGCGUAAAGCGCGCGCAGGCGGUCCUUUAAGUCUGAUGUGAAAGCCCACGGCUCAACCGUGGAGGGUCAUUGGAAACUGGGGGACUUGAGUGCAGAAGAGGAGAGCGGAAUUCCACGUGUAGCGGUGAAAUGCGUAGAGAUGUGGAGGAACACCAGUGGCGAAGGCGGCUCUCUGGUCUGUAACUGACGCUGAGGCGCGAAAGCGUGGGGAGCGAACAGG